CCUACGAUCUAUAGCUGGUUUGAGAGGAUGAUCAGCAACACUGGGACUGAGACACGGCCCAGACUCCUACGGGAGGCAGCAGUGGGGAAUCUUAGACAAUGGGGGCAACCCUGAUCUAGCCAUGCCGCGUGAGUGAUGAAGGCCUUAGGGUCGUAAAGCUCUUUCGCCUGUGAAGAUAAUGACGGUAGCAGGUAAAGAAACCCCGGCUAACUCCGUGCCAGCAGCCGCGGUAAUACGGAGGGGGUUAGCGUUGUUCGGAAUUACUGGGCGUAAAGCGCACGUAGGCGGAUUAGUCAGUCAGAGGUGAAAUCCCAGGGCUCAACCCUGGAACUGCCUUUGAUACUGCUAGUCUUGAGUUCGAGAGAGGUAAGUGGAAUUCCGAGUGUAGAGGUGAAAUUCGUAGAUAUUCGGAGGAACACCAGUGGCGAAGGCGGCUUACUGGCUCGAUACUGACGCUGAGGUGCGAAAGUGUGGGGAGCAAACAGGAUUAGAUACCCUGGUAGUCCACACCGUAAACGAUGAAUGCCAGUCGUCGGCAAGUAUACUUGUCGGUGACACACCUAACGGAUUAAGCAUUCCGCCUGGGGAGUACGGUCGCAAGAUUAAAACUCAAA
rnacentral:rRNA from 1 species